rnacentral:rRNA from 1 species
AGCGUUGUCCGGAUUUAUUGGGCGUAAAGAGCGUGUAGGCGGCCAGGUAGGUCGGCUGUGAAAACUCGAGGCUUAACCUCGAGAUGUCAUCGGAAACCAUCUGGCUAGAGUCCGGAAGAGGAGAGUGGAAUUCCUGGUGUAGCGGUGAAAUGCGCAGAUAUCAGGAAGAACACCAAUGGCGAAAGCAGCUCUCUGGGACGGUACUGACGCUGAGACGCGAAAGCGUGGGGAGCGAACAGG